rnacentral:tRNA from 1 species
GGGGUCGUCGGCUAGUCUGGUCUAGGCUUUCAGCCUUGGGCGCUGAAGAUCGCUGGUUCAAAUCCGGCCGACCCCA